AGCGCUCGAGACGCGACGUGGUGCUCGCGCUCCUCGCUUCGGGGACAUUACCGAUGAUGGACGUGUUGUAAGACAAGAACACGCAGCUUAUCUCUCACCAUGACAACUUAAGUGACAGUUACACGUGCAGUUUGGCCGAACAUAAACUGCUUUAACGGUCUCAGGUGUUUUUUUUUGUUUGUUUCUUACCAGCACCGGUUUUUAAUGUGUUUUAUGUGUUUGCGCUCAACAGUGAGGUAGACUUAUUAUACAGGAGUGUCGGCGUGUGAUUUACCCCGUGGAUGCGGCUGUUGGUGUCGGUGACUGAGCCCUGCAGGAUCAGCCUGUCAUAGGGCAUCAUGACUUCUCUGGUUGUUUACAAGUGGAUGAGGAAUAUUUCUCCGGAGAUGCUGCUGUUGGUGCCCAUAUUGUGGUUUUUACCUCUGAUCGGAGCGGCUCCUUCUGUCACUACCGAGCAGCUGGACACGGGGGUGGACUGGCUGAGUAAGUUUGGCUACCUCCCACCCCCUGAUCCUGUGACUGGUCAGCUUCAGACCAAGGAGGCCCUGACCAAGGCCAUCAAAGCCAUGCAGAAGUUUGGAGGGCUGAAGGAGACCGGAGUCUUCGACCAAGCCACACUGGGUCUGAUGAAAACACCCAGAUGUUCUCUGCCAGAUGUUUCUGAGGCAGAGGUGACAAUGGGUCGCAGGAAACGAGGCCUGACUCCUCAGAACAAAUGGAAUAAAAGGCAUCUAUCCUGGAGGGUGAGGACCUUCCCUAAGGAUUCGGCCUUACUGGGCAGGGACACUGUUCGAGCGCUGAUGUACUACGCCUUGAAGGUCUGGAGUGACAUCGCACCACUUAACUUCCACGAGGUAGCAGGAAGUGAUGCAGACAUUCAAAUCGACUUCACGAAGGCCGACCACAAUGAUGGCUAUCCCUUUGAUGGACCAGGUGGCACCGUGGCACACGCAUUUUUUCCAGGAGAGAGAUUCACAGCUGGGGAUACACACUUUGAUGACGACGAGGCCUGGACCUUCAGAUCACCAGACUCUCAUGGGAUGGAUCUGUUUGCGGUUGCAGUCCAUGAGUUUGGACAUGCCAUCGGCCUGGUUCACACCUCAGCUAUAGAGUCCAUCAUGAGGCCGUAUUACCAGGGACCUGUAGGAGACCCUCUGAAGUACGACCUGCCCUAUGAGGACAAGGUCCGCGUCUGGCAGCUCUACGGUGUCAGGGACUCAGUGUCCCAUACAACUCGACCAGGCAACCCCUCCCAGACAGCUGAACCUCCGGUCCUGCUGGACCUUCCUGAAAACAGAUCCACUCUUCUGUUGGCACGAGAUGCCCCAGACAGAUGCACCAGUCACUUUGAUGCUGUGGCCCAAAUACGAGGGGAGGCGUUCUUUUUCAAAGGCAAGUACUUUUGGCGACUAACUCGAGAGAAGCACCUGGUGUCUCUUCGUCCAGCUCAGAUCCAUCGCUUCUGGAGGGGUCUUCCACCGAAUCUGGACAGUGUGGAUGCUGUGUAUGAGAGGCCUGGGGACCACAAAAUAGUCUUUUUCAAAGGUCUAAAGUACUGGGUAUUUAAAGACAAUAUUGUGGAGGAGGGUUACCCUCGUCCAAUCAGUGACUUUGGCCUACCCUUGGAAGGAGUGGAUGCAGCCUUUGUUUGGCUACACAACGACAAAACCUACUUCUUCAAGAACAACCACUACUGGCGUUAUGAUGACCACCUGAGACGUAUGGACCUGGGCUACCCGAAAGACAGCACGCUUUGGAAGGGGCUGCCACAAAACUUGGACGACGCCAUGAGGUGGUCUGAUGGCUCGUCCUAUUUCUUCAAGGGGAAGGAGUACUGGCGAGUGCCUGGCAGUGACAUGGAGGUGGAAGAAGGAUACCCGCGCCUCAUCGCCAAAGACUGGCUGCUGUGCACUGAGAUGCAAUCCGAUGCUCCAGACGCAGAGCCCAAAAGCACGGAGACGAGAGGCAACGUGCACCAUCACCCGGACCACGCGGAGAAUGGCUACGAGGUCUGCUCCUGCACCUCUGACAGCGCCUCACCUUUAGGCGCCCGGCCCUGCCCGUCUCCCAUGUGGCUGUUGCCACCUCUCUGGACGCUCUCAUUGGCCCUCCACUCUGAACUGCUAUGAUGCCAAAACAUGGGACAGAGUUCUCUGGCUGGGUACAAGAAAGAGACUUUUUGGUAGAGGGCCAGUAGACACUCAGUCCAAAUACACCCUGGAAGAUUUUGUUCAUAUAAGUUGAUAUGUUUUUGAUAUUGUUUUGCUGUUAUUUAUUUCACAUGUCGUUUGACAGUUAUCUAAAGCGCCUUGUAGUAUGGGUAGUACAUACAUACAUACAUUAUCAUAUUAUCAUACUAAGGUAUAGCUAGUAGCCAUUAAUCCACUGACAAUGACAAUUCUAGUACCGUGCUUUACAAAUGGAGUUACAGAGCCACAAGUUCUAUCCCUAUAACCCCUCCUUCAAGGAUAUGUUCACAUUAAAAACAAUGGUUCAAGCAUAAAACAGCAUAAUACUUUCAAGAACAAAAAGUUAACAGCGAUAAGGAAUGGCAUCAUGGGAUACAGGCAGGUCAACUGGUAAAUCGCAUAUAGCGAUGUAGACUUUGACCAUCUGAAUGGCAUCCUGAGAUGUUCAGUAGACAGGAGCUAGAUGAGAAGAUCAGUACCACUGUCACGUCGGUGAAAGCUUAUUUCGCAAAAUGUCCAGCUAUUGCUUUAAAGAGUCAUAUUUUACAACUUGACAAGAAGAGCUGCCUGAAAGACUCCAGCCAAGCCAAAGAUUGAUAUCUGGUAUGUAGAUACUGUAGUGAGACAGGAGACUGACACCCUGGCAUGUAUUUCGGCAGACAGGUGAAAAGUACCUUGGGAUGUAGCAUAGAUAGUUAGAUUUACAGAUGAACGGGCCCAUGGGAUGUUGACAGGAAGACAUAUGAAUGGCUUGUUUGUGUGUCGGCAGGUAGAUGAACGGCAGGGCUGUAAACAGGUAGACGGGCAAACACCAUCCAGCAUAGUUACACAGCUAUUGGGACGUGAGACCAAUUACAGACUUCCUGUCAUUAAUUGGAAAGUUAAAAUCCAACAGUUUCUCACUGUCGCUUAACACCAUUAGCUUAAAUCCCCUACUUGGCCUCCCACGGUCUGUGAGGAACUGUUUGAGGCCAUAAUGAAGUCAUAAUUUUAAGCCCUGGUACAGAAGCAUUCCCUGCCAUUAUCAGAGGCAGUAUUGGUUUUGUAGUUUGUAUUCUUUUUUGUAAUAAAUAGGGAUGAAAUGUGAUUCCAUAUUGCUUUGAUCAAGUUAGAGUUCAUGGAGCCUUUUUCCUCACCACCAGGCAAUGUCCAUCAUCAGUCCAAGCUUGUUCUGGUGACUUGUUGGCAGACCUCACAAGCACCUGGAUUUAUUCUUGCUGAUAUAUUUACCUACAUUUUAAAAUAGACAAUAUAUUUGAGUUGAGAUGUUCCAUGGUUAGUGCGAAACCAAGUGGAAUGUGUAUAUUUGAAGGUGUGUUUUCUAAUGUAAAAUAUUUUUGUAGAAAAAUAAAAAGAA